GACGAACGCUGGCGGCGUGCCUAAUACAUGCAAGUUGAGCGCUGAAGGUUGGUACUUGUACCAACUGGAUGAGCAGCGAACGGGUGAGUAACGCGUGGGGAAUCUGCCUUUGAGCGGGGGACAACAUUUGGAAACGAAUGCUAAUACCGCAUAAAAACUUUAAACACAAGUUUUAAGUUUGAAAGAUGCAAUUGCAUCACUCAAAGAUGAUCCCGCGUUGUAUUAGCUAGUUGGUGAGGUAAAGGCUCACCAAGGCGAUGAUACAUAGCCGACCUGAGAGGGCGAUCGGCCACAUUGGGACUGAGACACGGCCCAAACUCCUACGGGAGGCAGCAGUAGGGAAUCUUCGGCAAUGGACGAAAGUCUGACCGAGCAACGCCGCGUGAGUGAAGAAGGUUUUCGGAUCGUAAAACUCUGUUGGUAGAGAAGAACGUUGGUGAGAGUGGAAAGCUCAUCAAGUGACGGUAACUACCCAGAAAGGGACGGCUAACUACGUG
rnacentral:rRNA from 1 species